rnacentral:rRNA from 1 species
GGGUGAGUAACAUGUAGGUAUCUGCCCUUUGGCCUGGAAUAACACGAGGAAACUUGUGCUAAUACCGGAUAAGUCUUUACGGAGAAAGCUUUAUGCACCAUUGGAUGAGCCUGCACUUGAUUAGUUUGUUGGUGGGGUAAUGGCCUACCAAGACUUUGAUCAAUAGCUGAUUUGAGAGGAUGAUCAGCCACAUUGGGACUGAGACACGGCCCAAACUCCUACGGGAGGCAGCAGUGGGGAAUCUUGCACAAUGGAGGAAACUCUGAUGCAGCGAUGCCGCGUGAGUGAAGAAGGCCUUUGGGUUGUAAAGCUCUUUCGUCGGGGAAGAAAAUGACUGUACCCGAAUAAGAAGGUCCGGCUAACUUCGUGCCAGCAGCCGCGGUAAUACGAAGGGACCUAGCGUAGUUCGGAAUUAC